rnacentral:rRNA from 1 species
AGAGUUUGAUCCUGGCUCAGAUUGAACGCUGGCGGAAUGCUUUACACAUGCAAGUCGAACGGCAGCACAGGAGCUUGCUCCUGGUGGCGAGUGGCGAACGGGUGAGUAACACGUCGGAACGUAUCCAUGUAAUGGGGGAUAACGCAGCGAAAGCUGUGCUAAUACCGCAUACGCCCUACGGGGGAAAGCAGGGGAUCUUCGGACCUUGCGUUAUUGGAGCGGCCGACGUCUGAUUAGCUAGUUGGUGGGGUAAAGGCCUACCAAGGCGACGAUCAGUAGCUGGUCUGAGAGGAUGAUCAGCCACACUGGAACUGAGACACGGUCCAGACUCCUACGGGAGGCAGCAGUGGGGAAUUUUGGACAAUGGGGGCAACCCUGAUCCAGCCAUUCCGCGUGAGUGAAGAAGGCCUUCGGGUUGUAAAGCACUUUUAUCAGGAGCGAAAUCUGCAUGCUUAAUACGUGUGCAGUCUGACGGUACCUGAGGAAUAAGCACCGGCUAACUUCGUGCCAGCAGCCGCGGUAAUACGAAGGGUGCAAGCGUUAAUCGGAAUUACUGGGCGUAAAGGGUGCGUAGGCGGUUCGUUAAGUCUGUCGUGAAAUCCCCGGGCUCAACCUGGGAAUGGCAUUUUGAACUGGCAGUCUAGAGUGCGUCAGAGGGGGGUGGAAUUCCACGUGUAGCAGUGAAAUGCGUAGAGAUGUGGAGGAACACCAAUGGCGAAGGCAGCCCCCUGGGAUGACACUGACGCUCAUGUACGAAAGCGUGGGUAGCAAACAGGAUUAGAUACCCUGGUAGUCG